rnacentral:tRNA from 1 species
GGAGCGGAGUUCAGUCGGGUAGAAUACCUGCCUGGCACGCAGGGGGUCGCGGGGUCGAGGCCCGUCCGUUCCGCCA